GUAGGUGGCAAGCGUUGUCCGGAAUUAUUGGGCGUAAAGCGCGCGCAGGCGGUUCUUUAAGUCUGACGUGAAAGCCCACGGCUCAACCGUGGAGGGUCAUUGGAAACUGGAGAACUUGAGUACAGAAGAGGAAAGCGGAAUUCCACGUGUAGCGGUGAAAUGCGUAGAGAUGUGGAGGAACACCAGUGGCGAAGGCGGCUUUCUGGUCUGUAACUGACGCUGAGGCGCGGAAGCGUGGGGAGCAAACAGGGAUUAGAUACCCUGGUAGUCCACGCCGUAAACGAUGAGUGCUAAGUGUUAGGGGGUUUCCCGCCCCUUAGUGCUGCAGCUAACGCAUUAAGCACUCCGCCUGGGGAGUACGGCCGCAAGGCUG
rnacentral:rRNA from 1 species